CCUUUCUGUCCUGUUUGGUUUCGCUUUUACCAGCUUGGCCAUCUGUAACGGUCACAAAAACUUGUUUUGAAAAUGUUGUUCAUUUGUUUAUAAAUGUUUUGCAAUCUGGGGCUUAACUCCUUUUUAUAAACAAUGAAAAUGCAGGUCGUGGUCAAUGGCCAAUCUCAAUGUAGAAAAGGCAACCAAAUCUUACUUGGGACCCACAAACAAGAGUAAAGCUGAGAAACACGAAGUGAAAUCCUCGUCACCAGAUAUAACUCAGCACCGUCUCAGGCAUGGAUCCCAGUGUGCUCUGGCUUUUUGCAACCACUAUUGCAGCA
rnacentral:lncRNA from 1 species